GAGCGAGAGCGAGAGCAGGAGCGAGAGCAGCGGCGGCGGCGGCGGCGGCGGCGGCGGCGGCGGCAGCGGCGGCGGCGUCCUCGCACGUUGGCACCGGUUUGUCUGUCUCGAAGGGUCCAAGCCUUUAAAUUUCCUGCACUUUCAGCUCCAUCACCAUGGAAACCACUGACUCUCUCUCUCUCUCUCUCUCUCUCUCUCUCUCUCUCUCUCUCUCUCUCUCUCUCUCUCUCUCUCUCUCUCUCUCUCUCUCUCUCUCUCUCUCUCUCUGUCUCUCUCUCUCCCUCUCUCUCUGUCUCUCUCUCUCCCUCUCUCUCCUUUCCCCCUCCCCUUUCUUCCCCCCAAACAACCCCACCCCCCACUUCACUUCUCCACCCCCGAGGAGCCAAAAGAACUGGAUACGGGCUCAGGGCAGACGCGGCUGAGGGUGAGCGGAGUUGUCAGACGCGGGGGAAAAAGGUGUGCAGAAAAGAGUAUAGAGAGGGAGGCAGAUUGCCACAGUUGAGAAGAAGCUGCGCGACAACGCUGAAAGUGGUGGUGGCGGCGGAGGCGGCGGCGGCGGCGGCGGUGGUGGCGCUUGGCAGGUCUCCGGGUACACAGGAAACAAAACAACCAAAGAAACCAACAAUUGGCUUUCCCACUCUCGGGCUGACAUGGAUCAGAACUUUCUGGUGUUGGACUGGUGACCCUUCCAGAUUAUUCAGCUUUUUGUGCAUGUACUGAAGCACAGCCCUGAAUCCUGAGCGUCUGUUACUUCCUCUUCUUUUUUUUAAUUCUAAAAAAUAUUUUAUUGUCAUGCAUAACACGAUUUCAUAUUGGUCAUUGUUGUAACAACAAACUCAUAUAUAACCAAAAUCUCAAAAUAAAACCAUAAAUGCACUGAUGUGUAAGAUGACU
rnacentral:lncRNA from 1 species